GACAGAGGGGGCAAGCGUUGCUCGGAAUCACUGGGCGUAAAGGGCGCGUAGGCGGGCUGGCAAGUCGGUCGUGAAAUCCUUCGGCUCAACCGAAGAACGUCGGCCGAUACUGCCGUUCUUGAGGGAUGCAGAGGAGAUUGGAAUUCCCGGUGUAGCGGUGAAAUGUGUAGAGAUCGGGAGGAACACCGGUGGCGAAGGCGGGUCUCUGGGCAUCUCCUGACGCUGAGGCGCGAAAGCGUGGGGAGCAAACGGG
rnacentral:rRNA from 1 species